AUCAAGCAAGAGAGUGAGGAGCCAGCAUCAGCUGAUCGGGGACAAGCCGAUGCCACCCCAGCUGCUCUGCUGCCAGCUGAGCGCAUUUGCGCUGCAGAUGCACCUACGAAAGGACAUAUCCUUAUGGAGCAGAGAAAA